ensembl:lncRNA
UUAGAAUGUUUGGUGAGCCCUGAUCUUUGGAAAGGGCAUAGCAGUCUCCGGGAGAGAACCUUUACAGUCGCGCAGCUCUGGAGGAGGUGCUUUACUUAUUGCUUCAGUCAUUGGAAACUGCAAUUGGUUUUAUGGACCAAAAUGCUAGAAGAAUGACUUUAUUUUUAGAAAAAAAGAACGUAUGAUUUGUCCGAGCAAGGAAAAGAAAUUCAAAGAUCUCAUUGUGCCUAACUUUGUUUCUCAUUCAGUCUGCAUUUUUUAGUUUGGUUUAAUUUUGUUUCUGCUUGAAUGUUUUUUGAUUCAUUCACAGGUGUUUAUUAUGUGGUGUAUCUUAAGGUCUGUAUUAAAGUUUUUCUAUCAGAUAGGCAGAAAGGUGUUCACACAACAAGCAUCCAGUGCUGCUUCUUGCCUUGGCGCAGGACAUGUCAUGAGGACUGGGGAGGCUCUUUGAGGUCCCAGGUAUCUGUUAAUCUGCUCCUAUGACUAACAGAGUAAAACCUGGAGAGAGGGCUCCAGGUAUCUUAAGAUGAUAUGCAGCCACAUCUCGCUUCCCAUAUUUUACUCUUUCUUUUCAAAACUUCUUUGAUUCACAGUAUCUUGGGCUGUGGAGAAAAAAGACUGACUAUUGCUUCAGUUUUGCUGUGUUCCUGCUGAGUCUGAGGCGCUAUGCUUAGAGGCAACUUUGAUAUCGUUAGAAUUCCUUCUGCCUGGAAUCAGCUGAGGUCAGGAGGUCUUGUGUGACUGAACAGAUUGUUCUUGUCUGUGACGUGAUGUCCUGGAUCCGCCACGCACCAUUUCCAGAGCCAGCUUCAGCAAGGGAACGGGUCUGAGUCGGAUCACGAUCUUGAAUGCUGCAAAUGCCUCUGGGACCAUUCUCUCUCCUACAGAGAUCUCCUUUCUGGGGUGAGCUGCCUCACGUUGUUCUGUUCGUGGUGGUUGUUAAAUGCUUAGGUGACUCUCUCAGACCCAGUCUGGAGGGCCAGUGUUGGGUGAGACAUUGGUUGAUCUUGGUCACGCCUAUUGUGAAUAAAUGUUACUUUUUAUU